GUUUGGUUCACCUAUUUAUGGGUACUUGUUCUACGCACAUAUGGGUAAAUUUCAUUUUACCUAUAUUAUUAGUAAAAUUUACCUAAAAAAUCAGUAAUAUUUACUGAUAUUCUAAACAAACCGUCUUUACCCAUAUUUGAGUGAUCGCAUUUACCCACAUUUGGUUGAAAAAAUAAACAUAAACAAAUGCUACCGUGUCGUUGUUGAACAAGUUCAUAAAUUUCUCCCUAUAGUUUUCAUUCUUUCACCGUGAUAGUGGUUGCAAACAAAAAUAUCGUUUGUAAAAUUGGUGAAAUAAGUAAUCUACUUGUUUUCAGUUCUGACCACCAGUAGCAGCAAGUUUGCAAUCGGCCUCGUGGGACAGCAGAUAGCCUGAAAAAAUUCCCAAAUCAUCGGUUGUCGCUCCAGAGUCGUUAAUUCCUGCAAAUUCCUGAGAAAAUCGGGUACAACUAUGUAGUACGUUGUGGUAUUGGAUAUUGGUCUGAUCUGAAGGUCAUUUCAUAAUCGCAAAUAGGAAAAUGUUUAUACGGCAUCGCUCCCGCCGCGAUAAUCAUUGCUCUUCGUCUUCAUAGUGUGAGCCACUACAGCUAAUUCCGUAUUCCGGAUUCCGUGCACAAACGACAGUUUCGGGACACGAUCAUCGGAUUCCAGACUUGUCGUGCAGGCUUCCAGAGCUUAUGGAAAGCUAGUCGAAUUUUAAAGUUAAUCAGGAAAGACUAAUACAUAUUGCUAAAACGGAUUGCUUCCGAGUCGUUGAAUACAAACGCAUGCACAUCCAGGCCUGAGAAGACAGUCGGAGGAUGCCUGACUUGCGAUGGAUCCAAUAUUUCCUGCUGAUGAACCUCGUACUAGAAUGCUCCCUCUACAAGUCAUUUGACUUGCUGCUUCUGUUAUAUCUUUCAUCGUUUAAUCCGGAUUAUUAUCGAUAUUCCGUUGUGAUAAGGGGGUUGGAGAAAAUUUUCAGACCUGAUUCGCACUUCAACAAUUGUAAUUCUAUGGAAAACGGAACCUGAAACUUGGCCGAAAAAAAGCAUUCAAUGUUACUAUUCCGGAAAUGCUUUAUAUGAACAAUUAUCUUGGUUGACAAGGUGGUGCAAACAUGUACAGAACCAUGGUUAGAGUGCUCCUGAAAAUCUCCAAAAGCAGCGGACCAACGGACCAACAGGAACAGGGGCAUGGAAGCUCACCAAAUCAUCAGCGACCACUACAGGCCACCCGCAUCACCGCGUUUACCACCAUAUACUAAUUACAGAAAUCUGUUCUGGUACAUGCUGUUAUCAGCAAUCAAAACUUUAGGGUGCAAUUAGGAUAUCUUGCUAGCAGAGAAACCUCGGGAGGAACAGCACUUUCAUCGCAUGGAAUCGACCUCAUUGGAUUGAUCGAUAGGCGUAAUCUAAGUCCCCGGGAGAGGCAGACACCGUGGCGAGACCGUAGAUUAUUUUGAAAAAGCAAUUAAU